rnacentral:lncRNA from 1 species
UUGUCAAUGUGUUAUUAUGCACUUGCCAUCUACGAAAAUCAGCCUGCCUACACUGAUACUCGUGGAAGUCUAAUUUCACGUCAACAGCCUAUGCCAAGUCAGUACUAUGCAUCGUCUCAGUAUUACCGGCCACAACAUCAUCUGAGUGUUCCACAUCAGAAUGUUCCCUAUGAUAGCAAUUUUGGACAGAGCAACAUUCCGGCUUAUUAUCAUCCAGAAUUCCAAGGAAUUUCUACUCGACCAGCAACUUCCCUUCCUCAAGGGAAUCCAUCCUUGGGCCUGGUCCUCAUUCUGCUGCUAACAAGCUCAUCCACAGUUUUACAACAUCACUGGACAAGCCUAUCCUCAUGAUGAUCGUAGUGAAACAAAUUUGGUUAGCUCCUCCUUAUGGUACCCAGAUUUAGGAGCUAU